UACAGAGACUGCAAGCGUUAUUCGGAUUCACUGGGCGUAAAGGGUGCGCAGGCGGCCAGGUGUGUUAGAUGUGAAAUCCCGGGGCUCAACCCCGGAACUGCGUCUAAAACUACUUGGCUAGAGCAUUGGAGAGGGUAGCGGAAUUCACGGUGUAGCAGUGAAAUGCGUAGAGAUCGUGAGGAACACCAGAGGCGAAGGCGGCUACCUGGACAAUUGCUGACGCUCAGGCACGAAAGCGUGGGGAGCAAAAGGG
rnacentral:rRNA from 1 species